NNNNNNNNNNNNNUCCAUCACCCAUCUCUCUCAUCCAUCCAUCCAUCAGCCAUCUCUCUCAUCCAUCCAUCACCCAUCUCUCUUAUCCUUCCAUCAGCCGUCUCUCUCAUCCAUCCAUCACCCGUCUCUCUCAUCCAUCCAUCACCCGUCUCUCUCAUCCAUCCAUCACCCAUCUCUCUCAUCCUUCCAUCAGCUAUCUCUCUCAUCCAUCCAUCACCCAUCUCUCUCAUCCAUCCAUCCAUCAGCCAUCUCUCUCAUCCAUCCAUCACCCAUCUCUCUCAUCCUUCCAUCAGCCGUCUCUCUCAUCCAUCCAUCACCCGUCUCUCUCAUCCAUCCAUCAGCCGUCUCUCUCAUCCAUCCAUCACCUGUCUCUCUCAUCCAUCCAUCAUCCAUCUCUCUCAUCCAUCCAUCAGCCGUCUCUCUCAUCCAUCCAUCACCUGUCUCUCUCAUCCAUCCAUCACCUGUCUCUCUCAUCCAUCCAUCACCCAUCUCUCUCAUCCAUCCAUCCAUCACCCAUCUCUCUCAUCCUUCCAUCAGCCGUCUCUCUCAUCCAUCCAUCCAUCACCCAUCUCAUCCAUCCAUCAUCCAUCUCUCUCAUCCAUCAGCCGUCUCUCUCAUCCAUCCAUCACCCGUCUCUCUCAUCCAUCAGCCGUCUCUCUCAUCCAUCCAUCCAUCCAUCCGUCCAUCCAUCUGUCACCUGCCUAUCCAUCUAGCCUGUCAUCUGUCAACUAUUACCUAUGUCUGUAUCUAUCUAUCACCUGCCUAUUGCCUAUCUAUCUACCGCCUAUCACCUGCAUUGUGUAUAUCUGCACCUGUAUCUGUCCACCUGGAGCCAGGACUUUUUACCCUGACCUUGAACAUGGGCCCCCAGGCUCUCCAGCCUGUGGACACCAGGACCUGCACCUGUGGCUCCCCAGACUCCCGAGGCCUUGGCCUCCAUCUGAGAGGGAUGCCACCAGCCUCUGGUUCCAGAACAUCAGGUUCACGCUGCGCCACGCCACCAGCGGCCCUGCAUGUGCAGCCUGCAGAUGGACUGUCGUGCGGCUUCUCAGUCUCCACAGUCACAGGGCCAGUUCCCCCAGGAACCCCCUCCCUGCAGCCAUCUCAUCUACGUAGCUGCACAGCUAGACAGACAGAUGACAGUUGGAUGGACGGAUGGAUGAUGGAUGAUGGAUGAUGGGUGGAUGGAGAGACAGACAGAUGGUCAGGAACCCCCUCCCUGCAGCCGUCUCAUCUACAUAGCUACACAGCUAGACAGACAGAUGACGGACGGAUGGAUGAUGGACGGAUGGAUGAUGGAUGGAUGGAUGAUGGAUGGAUGAUGGAUGGGUGGAUGGAUGAUGGAUGGGUGGAUGGAUGGAUGGGUGGAUGAUGGAUGGAUGAUGGAUGGGUGGAUGGAUGAUGGAUGGGUGGAUGGAUGGAUGGGUGGAUGAUGGAUGGAUGAUGGAUGGGUGGAUGGAUGAUGGAUGGGUGGAUGGAUGGAUGGGUGGAUGAUGGAUGGAUGAUGGAUGGGUGGAUGGGUGGAUGGGUGGGUGGAGAGACAGACAGAUGGUCAGGAACCCCCUCCCUGCAGCCGUCUCAUCUACAUAGCUCAACGA
rnacentral:lncRNA from 1 species